AAAUUGAAUUUUUUUGAAAAUGAAUUCCACAAAAACAGAGUGAUCAUUUAGUUGCAUUACAUUUAGGAUCGAGUCUAGAGUGUUUCAUAUAGGAUUGUUGCAUAUGCAUAGGGGAUAAUGAGGAAAUAGCCUUGUAAGCAUGAUGAUUCACUAAAAUGAGUUAUUAGUUCUCUGAGGCAUUUGAAUGACUUC
rnacentral:sRNA from 1 species